CUUUUAUUUAGUUCAAAGCAAACUGAACAUCCACAAGGUGAAACUAUUACAGGAAUAUAUAAUAAAAACAAUUAACCCGGACUAUGAACCCUCAUACAUUAUAUGUUAAUAAUUAUUUUAUGAGGACACCUUAAAGAGAAAAUACUUACGAGAGCAAUAAUCAAACCAUCACUACACAUACAUGAUAAAAAUCAGAUCAUGAAACCUGUGCUCACUUUAAGUUUACGUAUAAACGGUAAACAUCACUGAGCCUGAAAAUACAUCAUAUAUUACAUACUAAUUUUCUAAUGAAUGUUGCACAUUGUUCUAUAGUUCACUUACACCCUCAUCUGGAUGGAUAUAAAUCAAAAGAACUAAAUCCUACAAAUUAUCAUAAUGUAAAAAAACGUGGUCAAAAGCUCACUUUAAAUGCAAAACUAGGUUUCAGUAUUAUCAUAUUUAUAUUUUCCAAUAAUAAUCUGAUUUAUCUGGUGGGAACAUUCAGGUUAUUCAAAUAAAACAUCAAUGAAUAUAAAAUGCUCUAAACAUUUUGCUAAAUGGCUCAAUUCAUCUCAGCAGUGAGUGAACGUGAUGAAGAAAGCUUGACUUGGUUUACAAUCAUCAACGUAGCCUCUUAUUUGUUGGGUGUGUUGACGACCGCGUAGAGGUCACUGGGAUCAACGGAGGCUCCGGCACCAGAAGAAGAAGCAGGAGGCGGAGCUUUCACAGUGCAGUAAGUCACCGCAUCGUCGCCAUCUUUGACUCGAGCCUGGAAACGAUCACAUGAUGACGACUUGAUUCAACACGUCAACAAACACACACAAAGACCACGAAGCAAAGAACACAAAGUAAAGCAAAGAUAAAUAGAUUUAAAUACUUCCCAUCAGCCUCAGCUCUAAUUUGUGCCCAAUGCCUAAACUCUCCACCGCGAGAAUGAUGUGUGUGUGUGUGUGUGUGUGUGUGUGUGUGUGUGUGUUUGUAUUUGUGUGCAGAACUACAUUUGCUUUGCACCAGCAUGUAGCAUUGUGAGCACGUUAGCAUCGUGGUUGUGGUUAGCAUGGUGAUGCAAUUAGCUCAAACACUUCCUCAUCGGUGCAGCCAAUCAGAGAGCUCACCCGGGCUCCUCCGCCGGCCGUCCUGGUGUAGCUGACGGAGGCGUAGGCUACGCCUUCCUCGGGGUCGGCCUGCACACAGGAGACAACAACAGGCCGCUCAGAGACGUGUUAGCAUCGUGGUUGUGGUUAGCAUGGUGAUGCAAUUAGCUCAAACACUAGAGGGGCCGUCUCCUGAAAGCCAAUCAGCCAGCGCUCCACAAGAUGAAAAAGAGUCGACUUUAGUUUCAGCAGAUAAAAGCAUCUGAUGAGGAUGUGUAACUUCUCACCUUGAUUUCUCCAUCUGAUGAAGACCACGAGGAUGAUGAAGAGGACCAAUAAACCCACCAGCGGGAUGACGAGCCACGGCCACCAGACUGAGGGAGGAUGAGAACAUUUAAACACAGACACGAGGCACCAAACUGUCUUUAAUAAGUCAAUCAGUGUCUUUAAUUGAAUAAUAACUAUCAAAUGAAUGUAAUAAGAUGUUUCUAACACUUUACUUUAUAGCAGAGAUAUUAAAGACAUUUAAAAAACAUCAGGAGCAACAUGUGGG
ensembl:lncRNA